rnacentral:tRNA from 1 species
UCCCCUGUGGCUCAGUUGGUAGAGCAUGGUGGUUGCAACGCCAGCAUGGUGUGUGCAAUGCCAGGGUUGUGGGUUCGAUUCCCACGGGGGGCC